rnacentral:rRNA from 1 species
AUUGAACGCUGGCGGCAGGCCUAACACAUGCAAGUCGAACGAUUGGCGGAAGUGUGAGUAAUGUCUGGGAAACUGCCUGUUGGAGGGGGAAAACUAUUGGAAAGGGUAGCUAAUACCGCAUAGCCUCAGAUUUGCCCAGAUGGGAUUAGUUAGUUGGUGGGGUAACGGCUAACCAAGGCGACGAUCCCUAGCUGGUCUGAGAGGAUGACCAGCCACACUGGAACUGGGACACGGUCCAGACUCCUACGGAAGGCACCAGUGGGGAAUAUUGCACAAUGGGCGCAAGCCUGAUGCAGCCAUGCCGCGUGUAGGAAGAAGGCCUUCGGGUUGUAAAGUCCUUUCAGCGGGGAGGCGUUACCCGCAGAAGAAGCACCGGCUAACUCCGUGCCAGCCGCCGCGGUAAUUC